rnacentral:rRNA from 1 species
GGGGGGGGCAAGCGUUGUUCGGAAUUACUGGGCGUAAAGGGCUCGUAGGUGGCCAACUAAGUCGGACGUGAAAUCCCUCGGCUUAACCGGGGAAUGGCGUCCGAUACUGGUUGGCUUGAGUUUGGGAGAGGGAUGCGGAAUUCCAGGUGUAGCGGUGAAAUGCGUAGAUAUCUGGAGGAACACCGGUGGCGAAGGCGGCAUCCUGGACCAACACUGACGCUGAGGAGCGAAAGCCAGGGGAGCAAACGGGAUUAGAUACCCCGGUAGUCCUGGCCCUAAACGAUGAAUGCUUGGUGUGGCGGGUAUCGAUCCCUGCCGUGCCGAAGCUAACGCAUUAAGCAUUCCGCCUGGGGAGUACGGUCGCAAGGCUGAA